UGGCUCUGUGGUAGAGCAUGGUGUUUGCAACGCCAGGGUUGUGGGUUCGAUUCCCAC
rnacentral:tRNA from 1 species